UGCUCCUUUAGCCUCUGAAAAUUAGACUGGUUUUAAUGUAUACAGCACAGGACUUGUUUUUAGGAAGACCUAGGUUCAAAUCUCACUUUAGACAGUAAUUGUGUUGUCCUGGGAUAAUCACUUGACUUUUGGGGGCUUCCAAAAUGAAGGUGUUAGACUUGAUACCAUCAAGGAUUCUUCCAGCUCUAAAUCUAUGAUCAUCUGGUAUGAGAGAUCCUGCCAAGAGCAAAACGUUCCUUGCUACCUAGUCCUGAAAGUCUUUGCUGAUUUCCCCAAAUAUUGGCCUCUUAUCUGGUUCCUGCUUCCAGCAGUGCAACAUCAGAUUGUACCUGCAAGAGAUAAGAGUGAACCAGUGGGAGCAGGAUGGCUUUGGACUGAUUUCUUAAGCCCCCAUAUCCAGAGAGUGCGGAUGCAUACCCCCUUCUAGCUCUCAAGCAAAAUACUGGCAUGUCACAUCCAGCCCUUAAGAUGACCUCAUCUGCAAGAAGAACAGCCACCAAGACAUUUCUAGCUGCUAAAUCACGGUGGACCAGCUAGAAGAAAAAAGAUGACAACAACAAAAACUCCCCAAUACCAAAUGAUCCAGGAGAUGACAUGUGAUGAGCUGAGCAAGGCUGAUUUACAAGAGGGAUAGAAAAGAAUAAAGAACAGUACCAGGGUACUGCAUGGGAACAGCAAAGGACAUAGAAAGGGGAAGGGGAGAGCACCAGAGGCAAACUUCACAUCUACUUCAUCACUUUACCUAGGCCCAAUUCCAAAAGCAACUCCGAAUCCAGGUUAUUUCUCACAGGCCCUUGCCUUUUGAGCCAUGCUACCUGAAGAUAUCUUGAAGGAACUGCGAGUGUUUAGGCUGGAGAAAAGAAAACUCAGAGAGGACAUGACACGCUGCCUACAAGCAUUUAAAGGGCUAUCUUGGAGAAGAGAUACUGGGCUUGGUUUGUUUCGUUGUCUGUCCCCAGAAGGGAGAAACUGGGAUAGUGGAAGCAAGUUGCAGUCAUAUUGGUAUGUGUGUGUGUGUGUGUGUGUGUGUAUACACAUACAUA